rnacentral:ncRNA from 1 species
AUAUAAACGGUGAAGAGAUAAGUACAACAUGGUAUUUUACACAGAGAGUCGAUGGUUGGUGUAAGUCGAUAAAAUAACUGUUGGAAAAUGGUCUUGGAGUGAUUACAGAGACGAGCAAGCGGACACCCAUCUGUGUAGCGCGGUAAGUUGAAGUCGGUGGUGCUCGUUAACGCACAACGUAUAACCCGAAAGAUCUCACAGAUGUUCUCGACGAGAUGUGGUGGGCGUACGUUUGAGGUGUGGGUGCGAGAGCCCUACAUAAACACUGGGUGGUAACACGUUAUUUUUGCGUCCCGUAG